rnacentral:lncRNA from 1 species
UCUCUCUCUCUCUCUCUCUCUCUCUCUCUCUCUCUCUCUCUCUCUCUCUCUACCUCACCCGCUAACCAAUUUUCUUUGUGGCUCAUCUCGAAGGUGGACUGAACGGAACUAUGUUACCUUGCUUCUAGUCGUGGCCGGAGGACGUGCAGUUUGCCAUUGACUCAUCGGAGGAAGGCGAAGAAGAUGGUGACUGCGGUGAGUCCACCUUGAUGGUCGGAGAUCGAUGACGGAGGAAAGUGUCUUCCAGAUCCACUUUCUCUCUCCUCCAUCUCUCUCUCUCUGGAAAGGAGGUGUCUCUGUAUCUUGUUGUUGCUGUGGUUCUGAUAUCCCACUUUGAUAGUAGUUAUUUGUCAUCUCAGUACUUCUUAUUAAGGAAACUGAGGAGGAUAGCUCUUCAAGUGCAGGCAAUUUUUCUUUCUUGUACGUAGCUUCUAUUUGGACAUACUUGGGCAUGCACAUCUUACCAAAAGAACUAAGUUGGUUAAAGUUUAUUCUUCCAGAGUUUGUUGUUAUAUAUCUAUAGUUUUGAUGUGUUUCUGUAGAAUUUAUUAAUGUAAUCCAUUUCAUAUCCCAUUCUCUGCAAUAUUCUUCUCUACAGUUUUGAUGUGUUUUUAUAUAUCUACGAUUACUCUUGCUAUUAAUCUAACCAUCUGUGAAGAACUUACAUUGGAAAUGGUUUUGUUAAUCACUUGAAGUUGAAUUUGGGAAAACAUUCAUUGAGGAACAUCUAAAAGAAUAUGGAAGGACCAGUCACAAAUAUAAUUGUUAUACUUUCGAUGAGAAUACUCCACUUGUUGAUGAUCCAGAGUACAUCUUUGCAUUAGGUGAAACAAUAUUCAAGGGACUACUUUGAGGUAGUACUCAAAGCAUUUUGAUGUAUGCUCAUUCUUGGACAAGGAUCAUGUUGUUAAAGGGGGAAAAUUUUAGUGAUAUUCCACCUUGAACAACAAUGUAUACUAGGAAUGUAAAGAACAUAUUGCUAUGAAUGUAAAG